rnacentral:rRNA from 1 species
UUCCGGUUGAUCCCGCCGGACCUGACUGCUAUCGGAUUGAUACUAAGCCAUGCGAGUCUUUGUAGUAAUACAAGGCAGACGGCUCAGUAACACGUAGUCAAUCUACCCUAUGGACGAGGAUAACCUCGGGAAACUGAGAAUAAUACUCGAUAGAUCAUUAUGCCUGGAAUGGUUUAUGGUCGAAAUGAUUUAUCGCCGUAGGAUGGGACUGCGGUCUAUCAGCUUGUUGGUGAGGUAAUGGCCCACCAAGGCUAUAACAGAUACGGGCUCUGAGAGGAGAAGCCCGGAGAUGGGUACUGAGACACGGACCCAGGCCCUAUGGGGCGCAGCAGGCGAGAAAACUUUGCAAUGUGCGAAAGCACGACAAGGUUAAUCCGAGUGUUUUCUGCUAAAGAAAUCUUUUGUCAGUCCUAAAAACACUGAUGAAUAAGGGGUGGGCAAGUUCUGGUGUCAGCCGCCGCGGUAAAACCAGCACCUCAAGUGGUCAGGAGGAUUAUUGGGCCUAAAGCAUCCGUAGCCGGCUCUGUAAGUUUUCGGUUAAAUCUAUACGCUCAACGUAUAGGCUGCCGGGAAUACUGCAUAGCUAGGGAGUGGGAGAGGUAGACGGUACUCGGUAGGAAGGGGUAAAAUCCUUUGACCUAUUGAUGACCACCUGUGGCGAAGGCGGUCUACUAGAACACGUCCGACGGUGAGGGAUGAAAGCUGGGGGAGCAAACCGGAUUAGAUACCCGGGUAGUCCCAGCUGUAAACUAUGCAAACUCAGUGAUGCACUGGCUUGUGGCCAGUGCAGUGCCGCAGGGAAGCCGUUAAGUUUGCCGCCUGGGAAGUACGUACGCAAGUAUGAAACUUAAAGGAAUUGGCGGGGGAGCACCACAAGGGGUGAAGCCUGCGGUUCAAUUGGAGUCAACGCCGGA